UUGAAUAUAGUCGGAGUAGGCGGAAUGUGUAGUGUAGCGGUGAAAUGCUUAGAUAUUACACAGAACACCGAUAGCGAAGGCAGCUUACUAGGUUAUAAUUGACGCUCAUGGACGAAAGCGUGGGUAGCGAACAGGAUUAGAUACCCUGGUAGUCCACGCCGUAAACGAUGAUUACUCGUUAUUGG
rnacentral:rRNA from 1 species